rnacentral:misc_RNA from 1 species
GAUUAAGAACGCAGCGAAAUGCGAUAAGUAGUGUGAAUUGCAGAAUUCAGUGAAUCAUCGAAUCUUUGAACGCACAUUGCGCCCCUUGGUAUCCCGAGGGGCAUGCCUGUUCGAGCGUCAUUUCACCACUCAAGCCUGGCUUGGUGUUGGGCGACGUCCCCUUUGGGGACGCGCCUCGAAACGCUCGGCGGCGUGGCACCGGCUUUAAGCGUAGCAGAAUCUUUCGCUUUGGAAGUCGGGGCCCCGUCUGCCGGAAGACCUACUCGCAAGGUUGACCUCGGAUCAGGCAGGGAUACCCGCUGAACUUAAGCAUAUCAAUAAGCGGAGGA